UAUCUUUAUACUUUAAACNCUGAUUUUAUUUCUAUGUUUUUUAAAUAUUCGGUGUUUUUGAAUGUGUUGUUUAAAUMACAUAAAAAAUAAAAUAYAUAUUGCACAUGUAUUAAACAAAGAUCUGUAUUAUUUNNUGUUGUAUAAAUAAAUUGGCAAAAUAGAGAUGGAAGAUAAAAAUAAAAACCCUGGCAAUAACCUACUCA
rnacentral:misc_RNA from 1 species